AUGGCUCACGAACCCAACUUCCGAGCGGCACGCCUACCGGCCGAACAUCGCCUGUGCGCAGCUUGAUCUGCCUACCAUGCGUCGGCCUUGGUCAUCAUCUCACCGGCCUCGCCUUUCAUCUCUACCACCUGGAAAGCCGGCGUGGCCGACGGAGCAUAGACGACUGACUGUUCAAGGAACUGAAGCAGUGGACAGCUUGCUGUGAAAGAUGGGAGCAUUCUUCCUCUGGUCUGGACAAGCCCAUAUUAAGUGGGAGAUGUUCAAUAUCAACCCGAUGAGAGGCAGCAAAUGUGGAAAUGGACGCAAGUCAAGGACAGCUGCAGACAGCAAAAUAUUGAAACUGAUACGAUUGUGCUGAAUCACCGAAGAUAUGAGCCAGAGUGCGAACAGUAUACUCGUACAGUUUCGCAGAAUAAACCCCAUCUUUAUGCGUUCAGAGCAGCUGGAUGUUCACUGUUUACUUGGCAAGAAGUAGUAUGUAUGCAUGCUUCCUGCCACAGCUAUGUGCUGUCCCACACUUUGUGGGAAACACUGA